AUGAACCCCCUGGAGGAAGAGAGCAUCGCGCUGUCCUUCUCUUCUGCCUCUGAUGAAGAAUUCGAUGCUGUGGUCGGAUGUCUAGGGGACAUUAUCAUGGAUGAUGAGUUCCAGUUAUUACAGAGAAACUUCAUGGACAAGUAUUGCCAGGAGUUUGAAGACACCGAAGAGAAUAAACUUACCUACACGUCCAUUUUUAACGAAUAUAUUUCUCUGGUAGAAAAGUAUAUUGAAGAACAGCUGCUGGAGCGGAUCCUUGGAUUCAACAUGGCAACUUUUCACAACAACAUUACAACACUAUAAAGAUGAAGUGGCUGGUGACAUAUUUGACAUGCUGCUCACAUUUACUGAUUUUCUGGCAUUUAAAGAAAUGUUUUUGGACUAUAGAGCAGAAAAAGAAGGACGAGAACUAGACUUGAGCAGUGGCUUGGUGAUGACGUCCUUAUGCAAAUCAUCUUCUACACCAGCCUCCCAGAACAAUGUAUGUCACUAA